rnacentral:rRNA from 1 species
GUCGAACGAGCGAGAGAGAGCUUGCUUUCUCGAGCGAGUGGCGAACGGGUGAGUAACGCGUGAGGAACCUGCCUCAAAGAGGGGGACAACAGUUGGAAACGACUGCUAAUACCGCAUAAGCCCACGACCCGGCAUCGGGUAGAGGGAAAAGGAGCAAUCCGCUUUGAGAUGGCCUCGCGUCCGAUUAGCUAGUUGGUGAGGUAACGGCCCACCAAGGCGACGAUCGGUAGCCGGACUGAGAGGUUGAACGGCCACAUUGGGACUGAGACACGGCCCAGACUCCUACGGGAGGCAGCAGUGGGGAAUAUUGCACAAUGGGGGAAACCCUGAUGCAGCGACGCCGCGUGGAGGAAGAAGGUCUUCGGAUUGUAAACUCCUGUUGUUGAGGAAGAUAAUGACGGUACUCAACAAGGAAGUGACGGCUAACUACGUGCCAGCAGCCGCGGUAAAACGUAGGUCACAAGCGUUGUCCGGAAUUACUGGGUGUAAAGGGAGCGCAGGCGGGAAGACAAGUUGGAAGUGAAAUCCAUGGGCUCAACCCAUGAACUGCUUUCAAAACUGUUUUUCUUGAGUAGUGCAGAGGUAGGCGGAAUUCCCGGUGUAGCGGUGGAAUGCGUAGAUAUCGGGAGGAACACCAGUGGCGAAGGCGGCCUACUGGGCACCAACUGACGCUGAGGCUCGAAAGUGUGGGUAGCAAACAGGAUUAGAUACCCUGGUAGUCCACACCGUAAACGAUGAUUACUAGGUGUUGGAGGAUUGACCCCUUCAGUGCCGCAGUUAACACAAUAAGUAAUCC